rnacentral:rRNA from 1 species
AUGCUUGUCAGGGACAAUAUGCAGCUGAUCACCGCAGACGGUGAGAGGGAAAACAUGGACUGUGUCUUCAGGUGUGCACAUUAUCAACAAGGAAAGCUUCUGGACUCACCAGCAAGUACUGAUGGGAUCCUUGGCCUCAACAAUGGGGCAAUGAACCUCCCUACCCAGCUAGCCAAGCAAGGGAUCAUCCCCAACGUUUUCGGCCAUUCCAUCGCCAUGGAUCCCAGCAGUAGUGGCUACAUGUUUCUUGGUGAUGAUUACGUUCCCAGAUGGGGAAUGACAUGGGUUCCUGUCGGCAACGGUCUAGAGGACGUGUACAACACGGUACUACAGAAAGUAAACUAUGGAGGUCAGGAGCUUAAUGUGCGAGAGCAGGCUAGGAAACUGACUCGAGUGAUCUUUGACAGUGGGAGCUCAUACACUUACUUUCCACAUGAAAUAUACACAAGCCUGAUUGCUUCGGUGAGUUUUUGCAUCAACUCUCUCCAUCUGGUGAAACGAGUUCAGUUAAUUCCAUUCUGCAUAUACCUGAUCACGAUCUUGUAA